rnacentral:rRNA from 1 species
UACAGAGGUGCCGAGCGUUAGGCGGAAUCACUGGGCUUAAAAGCGCGCGUAGGCGGGUGCCUAAGUGUCUUGUGAAAUCCCACGGCUCAACCGUGGAACUGUUGGGCAUACUGGGCACCUUGAGGCACGCAGGGGCGAGCGGAACAAGUGGUGGAGCGGUGAAAUGCGUAGAUAUCACUUGGAACGCCGACGGUGAAAAACAGCUCGCUGGGCGUGUGCUGACGCUGAGGCGCGGAAAGCCAGGGGAGCGAACGGG